rnacentral:lncRNA from 1 species
UUCAGGAGUGGAACAAUGCGAAGCAAACACAUCCUUUUGCAUGGCAUCAGUUGGACCGAACCGGGAGGCUUCGAACUGAGAGGAUGGCUUCAAAUCGUCCAGGCAGUGCCGGUUAGCACCUCUUUCUCCUUUGCUCGAGUUGCGAAGAGUUUCCAAAUUCAAACGCAGCAGGUGGCAUCGGCACUGUAUUUCUCAAGAAGAAAAAAAUGUUCUUGUAUGUAUUCCUACCACAAGAAAUCCAACAGUACUUCUGGGCAUCACAUGCAAGCUUCCCCUUUUCACCUUCCAACUUAGCUAUCCACCUUUCUUCAAUUUUGUAUAUAUUUGUCGGUGUUGUUCUUGACCAUUAUGAGGUAUGUAUCAAGUAAAUUUUGUGCUUUGUCUAUCGAUGGACAGAAAUUUCAGGAGUUUGUCUUAGAAAUUUCCAUUAUACAUAGGUUGCAUGUCCUAAGCACUGUAAUUGAAGCUUGGCACCGGCAUGGCGCAUUGGGAUUUUAUGAAAGAAUUGAAGUAGAAGAUAGGCUGAGUAUUAGAAGUUGCCCAUUCC